ACAAGUGCUCCCUUUUUUGUCAACCUUCAGGAUAUUAAAGAAAAAAGUAAAUGAAAAAUGGAAAUAAUGAUGCAAAAAGAGGGUUCUUCACUCAAGGAAUCCUCCUGUAGAAAGGAUCUGUAUCCUCUUUACUACCAAAGUCUUUAAAGAACCACACUGCACUGAGGAAACACUCUGGAGCAGAAGUUUCAUCAGAAAAGAGAAAGAAUUAAAGAGAGAGGCAGUACACCUGCGAAGAAGGAUCAGCAGAUAAGAAGUCAUCUGACUAAGAGAAGUCAAGAUUUUCAAAAAGUGAAAUUGCAGGAACGAACAGAAGCAGAUGUUUCUCCAUUUCACAUAGAAUUUCAAGGCGGACUUUGAGUUCCAUAUGGGAAGCUAAUAUUACUUAGCAGUGAAGCAAGGAACAACAGAUAUGGCUAAGCUGUAGGAAAACAAAAUAUGCCAAAGAUCACCUGCAUAGAACUAGUGACAAGGCCACAACCAUAGGAACCUAAGGACAUAUCCUGAAGGUCAUGAUUUAGGUAACUAAUGGCUGAAAUCCCCAGGCAUGGAUUUUCCAGCAAGCAUGCUCUGACUCGCCACGGGCUUGGAUCUGCCGUGCAGCAGCUCUUUGCAACCAUGGUCUGCUGUGGUAUGCCGGUCUUUGACUGAGUCCAGAAAAAUCUGAAGGAAGAAGAGAGUCGAACUAGGGCAAAUUGUUAGAGACUAAACUUUGAAAGCACUCCAUGCCUCAAAAUUAACAGUCAGAGAAAAUAACAACAUGGAUAUUGUCGUUUCCUUCUGUCAACCUUGAAUGAUGAAAAGGAGAAAAAGAGGUGUCAAAGAACAUAGCUAAAACAUGGCCUCCCUUCAAGAUUUGUCAUGAAUGCAUUUCUCUACCAGGAAAUGAAGCACAAAACAAAGGGAAAUACAUAGCCUCAAAACUUCCCAUUCAUGAAGUUCUCCUGAUUAUAGUGUAUGUGGAAAUAGCAAUCAAACUUAGCCACUCACCAAACAUGGAAUAUGAAAAAAUAAUUUUUGCCUGACUCUCCUUUCUGUUUGGAUUUCAGGUUGUCCCAGAAUAAUUCUAGAAAACAAGGAAAACCAAAUACAUGGAUUAUGUGUCUAAGCGAUGCAGGAAGAAACCCAGCUGGUUCUUCACGUGUUGGAUGGAGAAGAGAAGAAAAUGAACACACGUAGCUGGAACAGGAAAAGUACCAGGGUUAGGAUCAAGGAAAAAGGCGCAACCACCGCAGAGCGAAAGAAUUUGCUGAACUCAUAAGGAAAAGCAUCCUUUUGGUUUUUUCAACCCAAGACAAUAUGCACACUAGACAAGAACUCUAGAACUGAGCCACAUCCCUGGGCUUUGAACUCAAAUACUGAGAUUCAGAGUCAGCAAGAUUGUUCAGUGGGGAAAAGACACUGCCUCCAAGUCCUGAGUUUGAUCCCCAGAACCCACAGGGUGGGGA